rnacentral:rRNA from 1 species
CUACGGGUUGCUCCAGUGAGGAAUAUUGCACAAUGGGGGAAACCCUGAUGCAGCAACGCCGCGUGGAGGAUGACGCAUUUCGGUGUGUAAACUCCUUUUAUAUGUCAAGAAAAUGACGGUAGCAUAUGAAUAAGCACCGGCUAACUCCGUGCCAGCAGCCGCGGUAAUACGGAGGGUGCAAGCGUUACUCGGAAUCACUGGGCGUAAAGGACGCGUAGGCGGGUUGUCAAGUCAGGUGUGAAAUCCUACAGCUUAACUGUAGAACUGCACUUGAAACUGGCAGCCUAGAGUAUGGGAGGGGGAGAUGGAAUUAGUAGUGUAGGGGUAAAAUCCGUAGAUAUUACUAGGAAUAUCAAAAGCGAAGGCGAUCUCCUGGAACAUUACUGACGCUAAGGCGUGAAAGCGUGGGGAGCAAACAGGAUUAGAUACCCCGGUAGUC